rnacentral:rRNA from 1 species
GAUGAACGCUGGCGGCGUGCCUAAUACAUGCAAGUCGAGCGAACAGACGAGGAGCUUGCUCCUCUGACGUUAGCGGCGGACGGGUGAGUAACACGUGGAUAACCUACCUAUAAGACUGGGAUAACUUCGGGAAACCGGAGCUAAUACCGGAUAAUAUAUUGAACCGCAUGGUUCAAUAGUGAAAGACGGUUUUGCUGUCACUUAUAGAUGGAUCCGCGCCGCAUUAGCUAGUUGGUAAGGUAACGGCUUACCAAGACAACGAUGCGUAGCCGACCUGAGAGGGUGAUCGGCCACACUGGAACUGAGACACGGUCCAGACUCCUACGGGAGGCAGCAGUAGGGAAUCUUCCGCAAUGGGCGAAAGCUUGACGGAGCAACGCCGCGUGAGUGAUGAAGGUCUUCGGAUCGUAAAACGCUGUUAUUAGGGAAGAACAAAUGUGUAAGUAACUAUGCACGUCUUGACGGUACCUAAUCAGAAAACCACGGCUAACUACGU